rnacentral:lncRNA from 1 species
CCCUCUGCCCCUCCGCCCCUCCGCCUGUCCGCCUCUCUCCUUCUCCCUUGUUCCCUCUCUCCCUCCCUGCUCCCCCACCUCCCUCCCGAGUCGUAGACUCCCUUCCCCCCGGCGCUGGGAGUCUCCUUCCCGCCCCGCCGCGCAGGUGCGGCGACGGCCGCGUCACUGGAGAGUGUGUCGAGUCACAGGCGGUCUUCCGCGCGGAGCGUCCCCGGCGGACGCUGCGCAGAUGGCUGCGACUGUAGGAUUCUUGCCGGCUAGUCUUCGUCGGUUCCGCCUGCGUCAGGUUACUCGUGAAAACUCGAAUAAGUGCUAUCGAUGUGAAAUCCGAGGAAAAGAGCAUUUGGGGGAAAAGUAAGGAAAACUCAAAACUCGGAUUGAGAAGUCUGCCUUGGCUCAUUAAUCAAGAAUUGCGCUUGCGCGCCUAAAUGUGACUGCCUUUAUCCUGCGAUGUCGGUAUUGAAGUAAGAGCAAUACUGGCGGCGUACCUAGCAUUUAGCGACCAUCAGUAUCAGUAGCAGGCCUCUAGCAAAGAACCAGUUAGUGAGCUUUGUACCAUAUCGAAAAUUAUAAGCCGUCCAAAAAAGUGUGAGAGUAAGGAAAAUGGCAGAUUAGAAUCAAAAUAUUUUUAUACCUGUGUCAUACAAGGGUACUUUGAAAAUAGAAAACCAGGUGGAAAUACCACAAAACUUAUUGUAUAUGUUGACACCGAAGAUGGUUUACAAUAGGGAAGAACAGGUGCAAUCAUGCUUGUUCUGUUUCAUGCCAAAUUCCGAAGAUUCACAGUAAGAAUUUAAUCAGAGGUCUUUAUAUUGGAAAAUAUUGCCUAACUGUAGCCUGCUUCAGGCUUGGUUAAUAUAGUUGUGAAACUAGACAUUAAGGCCCUGUAAUACAGACAAAACUUUAAAGAAAUAGGUCAUUUAAAAUGUCCCGUAGAAAAAUGAACAAAAUUCUGUUACUUCAGUUUGCUAAAUAGUGUUUUGUUUUUUUACCAAGUUACAAACACGAUUACACUAAUAUAUUCACACGUCGAUUAUGGUAGUCUUAAGAAGAGCAGUUUAGAGGAGACAGGAGCUUGAGUAAAAGGGAACUUAAGACCAAGUUGACUCGUAGGAAGAUACGGAAGAUAAAAGAGAAUUGAGGUAAUUAAUCUAUCAGUCAUGCUAGAGACAGGAAUGAUUUUUCCAAUAGGAGGUGAAGGUACA